rnacentral:rRNA from 1 species
UACGUAGGGUGCGAGCGUUGUCCGGAAUUACUGGGCGUAAAGAGCUCGUAGGUGGUUUGUCGCGUUGUCCGUGAAAACUCACAGCUCAACUGUGGGCGUGCGGGCGAUACGGGCAGACUGGAGUACUGCAGGGGAGACUGGAAUUCCUGGUGUAGCGGUGAAAUGCGCAGAUAUCAGGAGGAACAUCGGUGGCGAAGGCGGGUCUCUGGGCCGUAACUGACGCUGAGGAGCGAAAGCGUGGGGAGCGAACAGG